rnacentral:antisense_RNA from 1 species
CUUCAGCGAGCCGAGCCACAGCGGCUGCCCCUCCGGCCGGCCGCGGCCGUAGGUGGCGAGCAGGGCCUGGGCCUC